AAUGGGGGGAAUAAAAUAUUUUUAGUAGCAUUAUUAGUAAUUCCUCAGGCGACUUUGUGCUCAAUUUUAAAAGAGGUUCUCCUGGCUUUGGAAAAUCUUAUCUGAUUCAGGAGCAAAUCAUCGGUUACACUCCCCUAUCACCAGUGAUUCCUUGUUUUUAGCUGACACUCUGAAAAAGGUAUUGUGUGUAGGGCAAGAACAUUAAAGAUAAAGGGAAACUAUAAACAGAAGAAGUUAUUAACAAAAAUAGAUUUACAGAGGUCAGCAAGUCUAAAUGGUCAGACAUCUUGAUUUUCAUGGUCAUCAUUCAACAGAUCAAUACUGAACAGAAAACUUAAAGUUGAUAUUUUUCUCCAUAGUGCGACUUUUUUUAUGAAUUUGAAAUGGAACAUGUUUUUCCUUCAUUUAUUAGAAAGAGGAAAUUUCAACAUAAUGACUAAACAAAAAGAUGGGAGUCAUAUCAUCACAAUCAUAGUCUAGAUGCACAAGAACUUGAUCAAUUGGUAGAAGGACUGAAUGAAAAAAAUAUUAGUUUGUUGUUGUCCAAAUAAACUUGCUUCUCAUUUGAAUUGCUCCAUCCAAUAAAGAUGUAUA